rnacentral:rRNA from 1 species
AAACCAGCACCUCAAGUGGUCAGGUUGAUUAUUGGGCCUAAAGCAUCCGUAGCCGGCUCUGUAGUUUUUCGGUUAAAUCUGUACGCUCAACGUACAGGCUGCUGGGAAUACUGCAGAGCUAGGGAGUGGGAGAGGUAGACGGUACUCGGGAGGAAGUGGUAAAAUGCUUUGAUCUCUCGAUGACCACCUGUGGCGAAGGCGGUCUACCAGAACACGUCCGACGGUGAGGGAUGAAAGCUGGGGGAGCAAACCGGAUUAGAAACCCCGGUAGUCC